UACGAAGGGGGCGAGCGUUGCUCGGAAUUACUGGGCGUAAAGGGCGCGUAGGCGGCCAGAUUAGUCAGGCGUGAAAGCCCUGGGCUCAACCUGGGGACUGCGCUUGAUACGGUUUGGCUUGAGGACGGAAGAGGCUCGCGGAAUUCCCAGUGUAGAGGUGAAAUUCGUAGAUAUUGGGAAGAACACCGGUGGCGAAGGCGGCGAGCUGGUCCGUACCUGACGCUGAGGCGCGACAGCGUGGGGAGCAAACAGG
rnacentral:rRNA from 1 species